ACAGUCACACAUUAGAUACCCCCGUAGUCCCAGCCGUAAACAAUGUGCGUUAGGUGUGUCGGUAACCACGUGUUACUGAUGCGCCGAAGAGAAAUCGUGAAACGCACCACCUGGGAAGUACGGUCGCAAGGCUGAAACUUAAAGGAAUUGGCGGGGAGCACCACAACAGGUGGAGCCUGCGGUUUAAUUGGAUUCAACGCCGGACAUCUCACCGGAUAAGACAGCUGAAUGAUUGUCAAUCUGAAGGUUUUACAUGACUAGCUG
rnacentral:rRNA from 1 species